ensembl:lncRNA
GAGGAGUGACACGGCCAUCAGAAAACACUCAUCCCCCUGGGGUUGACUUUAUAUCAAUUCUUCCCUUUGCUGGUUCUUUCUGCUACUUGAAAAUUCUACCCUGCUUCUAAUGUCGAAUGCCAUGACCCUUUGCUGCAGUGCACUGAUUUUUAGAGGCCGCAACCUCAGAUGAUUGGGACUCACAUCUCUGGAUCAUGAGGCAAAGAACACACGCUCUGAAAUGUUGACUUCGG